GAUGAACGCUGGCGGCGGGCCUAAUACAUGCAAGUCGAGCGAACAGACGAGGAGCUUGCUCCGCUGACGUUGGCGGCGGACGGGUGAGUAACACGUGGAUAACCUACCCAUAAGACUGGGAUAACUUCGGGGAACCGGAGCUAAUACCGGAUAAGAUAUUGAACCGGAUGGUUCAAUGGUGAAAGACGGGUUUGCUGUCACUUGUAGAGGGAUCCGCGCCGCAUUAGCUAGUUGGUAAGGUAACGGCUUACCAAGGCAACGAUGCGUAGCCGACCUGAGAGGGUGAUCGGCCACACUGGAACUGAGACACGGUCCAGACUCCUACGGGAGGCAGCAGUAGGGAAUAUUCCGCAAUGGGCGAAAGCUUGACGGAGCAACGCCGCGUGAGUGAUGAAGGUCUUCGGAUCGUAAAACUCUGUUAUUAGGGAAGAACAAAUGUGUAAGUAACUCUGCCCGUCUUGACGGUACCUACUCAGAAAGCACCGGCUAACUACGUG
rnacentral:rRNA from 1 species